CCAGAGAAUUGCCCUGGGGAUCAGUUAAGUCCUGCUACAUUUUUUUCUGCCAGAAAUUUGCUUAUUCCCCCUUGGGGUGAGCACUUCAAAGGCCCAGAGGAUACUUCAAAAGACUGGAGGCUCCUCCCUGCUGGGUGUGAAGCUGGCGGAGGUGUGGGCCCUGGAAAUCCCUGAGCACACAGCCCUGCCCGCGGGUGGGCAGGACGCCCCCGGGCAGGGGGCUGUGCGGAUGUGGACACCAGCAGGUUCUGAUCCAGACCCCAAAAUCCCCUCCUGUCCAGCUGCGGGAGGAGAGAGGAGCCCUGCAGGACAGGAAGGGCAGUGAGCGAGGGGCCCCCCCCCGCAACCUGGCCCGGCUACGUCUGCACUUUAGCUUUCACCCCCCGCUGGCCCCAGCUGGCUCUGUCCCCAUGGACACAGGGCACCGCAGCCGCAUCUUCCAGGAGCUGCCCAACUCCUGCAAUCUGGGAAAAAGUUCCCGUCCCUGAUCCCUGGACUCUCGGGCAGCUUUAGCUCUGGAGUUUCCAUCAGUGAAAUAUUUGCUUUUCCUCGACUCGUCUAAAACGAACUAACAAAUGUGCCUAACAUCCUCUCUUUGAGUCCUUCUGGGAGAAAUUCUGAAAUAUGAAAGGGAGCUGUGUCACAACAGGGGAUGUGGGACAUCAUUAAGAAUAGACAGCCCUAAAAAGCCACCAUUGACCACAAAUGGAAUUGCCAUGUUCCCUUUAAAUGUAAGCAUGUUUUUCUCAUCUCACGGAUAAACACUGGAGAUGUCUCAUGUUCCCAGGGUCAUUCAGAGGGGCCGACCUUUCAUCUAAAAGGACCAGGGAACCGACUCCGGCCGCCUGCCCGGGAAAGAGCUGGAAUUAUUUGUCUGCUGUCAGGAAACAAAAGCCCCCUCAUCACCCAGCUUUUACGCUGAAGGUCUCCAGGAAUAGGAAAUACCUGCUUGUUUAUUUCUUGACCUAUGACUGCUGCAUCUGUAGUUUAGCUCUGAGAAUAAAAGGAAAAUAAAAUA